rnacentral:rRNA from 1 species
AGAUGAAAACUUGUUAAAAUAAAAUAGAGAUGUAUUAUUUACUAAAGGAAAAAUAAUUUCAUAAAUAUAAUAAGGAGUAAUUUUUAUUGAAUAGUCUAAAUUAGCUAAAGUUUAUAAGUACUGAAAAGGAACGUUUAUAAUUUCUUUGUAUUUGGGGAUAGUAAAUUUAAGAAUUUGUAUUUUGUGUAUUAAAGAAAAUUUAUAUAAUUUAAUCAUUUUAAAUAUCUCGAAACAAAUUUAGCUAACUUAAAGUAUAAGUUUUUGUUGAAAAUAAAUUUGUAACUUUAAGUUAAAGGUGAAAUAUCAAUCGAAGUUUGUUAUAUCUGGUUCUUUUAAAAUAAAUUUAAUUUUAUUUUUAUAGGUAAAAAUAUAAAAAGUAAAUGUAGGAGGGAUUAGCUUCUUAUAAAUUAAAGUAAUAAACAGCAGUUAUGAAUAUAUGUUGAAUUAGGCUUAAAAGUGGCUAUUUUAGUAAAGUGUUUUAACUAAAUUAGUAUAUAAGGUUAAAAAUUUUUUAAAAGCUUUUGUAUGUAUAAAAGAAUAGUUUAUAAUUUAUGAAAUUUAGAUAUAAUGAUUUUAUUAGUAUAUUGUAAUGUUUAAUGGAAUAUGUGUAAUAAAGAUCGUUAUUUAGAGAUAAUAAAGUAAUAUAAAGGAAUUCGGCAAAUAAAUUCUUUGCCUGUUUAUCAAAAACAUGUCUGUUUGGAGAUAUAAAGAGUCUGGCCUGCCCACUGAUAGUUUUAAAGGGCCGCGGUAAUCUGACCGUGCAAAGGUAGCAUAAUCGUUAGUUUUUUAAUUGGAAUCUUGUAUGAAUGGUUGAACAAAAGAAUAACUGUCUCUAUAUUUUAUUUGAAUUUAACUUUUAAGUGAAAAGGCUUAAAUAUUUUAAAAAGACGAUAAGACCCUGUAAAGCUUGAUAAAUUUUAUUAUUUAACUAAGUUAAUAUAGUUAUAAAAGUUUAAUGAGAAUAGUUUAUUUUAUUGGGGCGAUAAUGAUAAAAUGUUUUUAACUGUUGAUAAAAAAAGACAAAGUUUAAUGUAUAUGUAUAUUUAAAUGAUCCUUAAAUUAAGAUUAAAAGUUUAAGUUACUUCAGGGAUAACAGCGUUAUUUUUCUUGAGAGUUCCUAUCGAAAGAAAAGUUUGCGACCUCGAUGUUGAAUUAAAAUUUCUAUAUAAUUGUAGCAGUUAUAUAAGAGGGUCUGUUCGACCUUUAAAUUUUUACAUGAUUUGAGUUCAGACCGGCGUGAGCCAGGUUGGUUUCUAUCUUUUAAUUUAAAAAAGAUUAUUUUAGUACGAAAGGAUUUAAUAAUCGAAAUUAUUUAUAUAAUUGAUAAACUAUUUUGGCAGAUGAUAUGCGUUGGAUUUAGGAUCCUAUAAAAUAGAUUU